rnacentral:rRNA from 1 species
GUCCACGCCCUAAACGAUGAUGACUAGUUGUUGGGGAGGUUAAAUCCCUUAGUAACGCAGCUAACGCGCGAAAGUCAUCCGCCUGGGGAGUACGGUCGCAAGAUUAAAACUCAAAGGAAUUGACGGGGGCCCGCACAAGCGGUGGAUGAUGUGGUUUAAUUCGAUGCAACGCGAAAAACCUUACCUACCCUUGACAUGCCAGGAACCCUGCAGAAAUGCAGGGGUGCCCGAAAGGGACCUGGACACAGGUGCUGCAUGGCUGUCGU